AAAUAACAACACUGGAAAUUUUAUUUCUAGUGAUUGGAAUGAUGGGAAUUUAAACCCCUUUCAGAGUAACAAUUGGAGGGCAAGUCUGGUGCCAGCAGCCGCGGUAAUUCCAGCUCCAAUAGCGUAUAUUAAAGUUGUUGCAGUUAAAAAGCUCGUAGUUGGAUGUCUGCUGGAAGCAAUCAGUCCGCCCUAUUUGUAGGGUGUGCACUUGAUGAAUUCUGGCAUUUUUGUCCCAAUGAUGUAACGGAGCGGUGCUAUUGGGCGAAAGUUCAAUAGCCUGUUUUCCGAUUAUUGGGAUACUGUUACUUUGAGAAAAUUAGAGUGUUUGAAGCAGGCUAAUUGCCUUGAAUACUGCAGCAUGGAAUAACAAUAUAGGAUUUCGGUUCUAUUUUGUUGGUUUCUAGGACUGAAAUAAUGAUUAAUAGGGACAGUUGGGGGCAUUCGUAUUUA
rnacentral:rRNA from 1 species